rnacentral:lncRNA from 1 species
AAACAACCCGGGAUUUGGAGCCCCAAACACGUUGGCAUGCGGGGGAUGCUCAGUAAAACUCCAGACCGGCCUUUCCGACUGCCUGCCGGUCAUUUAUUUCUAUCCUGCGGCACUUCAAACUUAAUAUGGCCAAACGGGAUUCAUCCUCUUUUCCAAACUCUGCGCUGGUUCCUCAAGUGCCCCCGACUGAUCGCACAGUUUUGUAAACUGCAUAUCACAAGGUUCCUGACGUGAGAGAUGACUUAUAUCAGGUGUUUACAUGUAAAGAAAACCGAACAUACAGACACAUGCAUAAUCUUUGCCUUUGAGUCAAUUCUUUUAUGAACUACUACAGCGUUGUUUCCCAAUGAGGACAGAAGAAGGAAAAUCCACUUUAAAUUACAGAGAGGAAGAUUU